rnacentral:lncRNA from 1 species
CUCUCUCUCUCUCAGAGAGAUAGACACACAGAGAGAGAGAGAGAGAGAGAGAGAGAAAGAGAUGUUUAUGCUAUUACGGUUUUGCCUUUAUGAAUUUAUUUAUGAAUUUUUAAGUUUGAUUUGCAAUGAAAAUAUCUGAUAAUAAGUUUCCCUGCAGAUUACAGAGAUGUUCCUGGAUGGCCAUUCCAAUUCCCAGGUUAUGAUCAUUGGACUGAAGGGGCCGAUAUUGGAGGAAAUAGAGAUGCCCAAUUUCAUAUAAGUUUUCAAGUCCUUUUGUUCGAUUCCUCAUUCUUGUUCUGAACAUAGCAUUUGCAUUGUCUAUACUUUUUGUCCCCAAAUUAGUCCAAUAACAUUCAUAUAUUGAACCCUCAUGAAGGUGAUUGUUAUUUGUAAGAAAGAACAAGGUAUACUCAAUAAAUAAAAAAAAGAUCAAGUGAUGAUCUACAGUAUUCCUUGUUUGUGUCUGUGGUCGAUGUUUAUAUUUCAGGUUGCAGACCAGGGUGCACCUGGGUUUGGCUAGAUCUAUGCUGCCAGAUCAUUAAUGGAUUUAAGUUGGUUCCAGUCUAAAAUGGAUUUUGAUUCUAGAAUCAUAUGAACUAAUAGUUUCAAUUAGUAAUUCGUUUAUUACUUUGUUGAGUUUUGGUUGUGGUGGACCUACUGCCAGAGCCUGCUGGUUUGUUAGAUAGCAUAUGCUGACCCUGCUUUGCUGAAUCUGG